rnacentral:rRNA from 1 species
UGGGGAAUUUUGGACAAUGGGCGAAAGCCUGAUCCAGCAAUGCCGCGUGUGUGAAGAAGGCCUUCGGGUUGUAAAGCACUUUUGUCCGGAAAGAAAUCCUUGGCUCUAAUACAGUCGGGGGAUGACGGUACCGGAAGAAUAAGCACCGGCUAACUACGUGCCAGCAGCCGCGGUAAUACGUAGGGUGCAAGCGUUAAUCGGAAUUACUGGGCGUAAAGCGUGCGCAGGCGGUUUGCUAAGACCGAUGUGAAAUCCCCGGGCUCAACCUGGGAACUGCAUUGGUGACUGGCAGGCUAGAGUAUGGCAGAGGGGGGUAGAAUUCCACGUGUAGCAGUGAAAUGCGUAGAGAUGUGGAGGAAUACCGAUGGCGAAGGCAGCCCCCUGGGCCAAUACUGACGCUCAUGCACGAAAGCGUGGGGAGCAAACAGGAUUAGAUACCCUGGUAGUCCACGCCCUAAACGAUGUCAACUAGCUGUUGGGGACUUCAUUUCCUUAGUAACGUAGCUAACGCGUGAAGUUGACCGCCUGGGGAGUACGGUCGCAAGAUUAAAACUUAAAUGAAUUGACGGGGUC